rnacentral:misc_RNA from 7 species
UACCGAGUGCGGGCCCUCUGGGUCCAACCUCCCAUCCGUGUCUAUCUGUACCCUGUUGCUUCGGCGUGGCCACGGCCCGCCGAAGACUAACAUUUGAACACUGUCUGAAGUUUGCAGUCUGAGUUUUUAGUUAAACAAUAAUUAAAACUUUCAACAACGGAUCUCUUGGUUCCGGCAUCGAUGAAGAACGCAGCGAAAUGCGAUAAUUAAUGUGAAUUGCAGAAUUCAGUGAAUCAUCGAGUCUUUGAACGCACAUUGCGCCCCCUGGUAUUCCGGGGGGCAUGCCUGUCCGAGCGUCAUUGCUGCCCUCAAGCACGGCUUGUGUGUUGGGCUUCCGUCCCUGGUAACGGGGACGGGCCCAAAAGGCAGUGGCGGCACCAUGUCUGGUCCUCGAGCGUAUGGGGCUUUGUCACCCGCUCCCGUAGGUCCAGCUGGCAGCUAGCCUCGCAACCAAUCUUU